UACGAAGGGGGGCGAGCGUUGUUCGGAUUUACUGGGCGUAAAGGGCGCGUAGGCGGCCCUCCUUGUCGCGUGUGAAAGCCCCGGGCUCAACCUGGGAAUUGCGCGCGAAACGGGGGGGGCUUGAGUUCGGGAGAGGAGCGUGGAAUUCCCAGUGUAGAGGUGAAAUUCGUAGAUAUUGGGGAAGAACACCGGUGGCGAAGGCGGCGCCUCGUGGACCGAGACUGACGCUGAGGCACGAAAGCGUGGGGGAGCAAACAGG
rnacentral:rRNA from 1 species